CUGGGAACAGUAUGUCAAUAUAUAUAUGUUCCUGCUUUCUGUAACUGCUAGCAAGUCAGGAAACUGACUUUUCAUUGGUUGUCUAAUGUGAUAUAUACCUUCACGUAUUUUGUUAUUUUUAUAGCUUUGAGUAUAGAUAGUAAGGCAUAUAAUUAACAUUAUUAUGAUGAAAUAACAUUGAACAGCAACUAUUUUUAACGAUUUUUUCUUGUUCAAAUUGUAAAAACCUCUAUAGCUUCAGGGGAGCUGCGCCCCCUGACCCCCUGCCUCGGUAUAAACAGAAGGCAAGCUACGCCACUGUUUAU
rnacentral:lncRNA from 1 species